CCCUUAGAUGUUCUGGGCCGCACGCGCGCUACACUGAUGCGUUCAACAAGUUUCCUUGGCCGAGAGGCCUGGGCAAUCUUCUUAAUAUGUAUCGUGAUAGGGAUAGAUUAUUGCAAUUAUUAAUCUUGAACGAGGAAUUCCUAGUAAACGCAGAUCAUCAAUCUGCAUUGAUUACGUCCCUGCCCUUUGUACACACCGCCCGUCGCACCUACCGAUUGGGUGUUCCGGUGAAGCCUCGGGAUGAGGACUGGUGCCUUUAUUGGCAUGAGUUGUUCAGAACUUGUCUAAACCUUAUCAUCUAGAGGAAGGUGAAGUCGUAACA
rnacentral:rRNA from 1 species